rnacentral:hammerhead_ribozyme from 1 species
AUCCAGCUGACGAGUCUCGAUUAUGGCGGAACGCGUGUCCUGGAU